AGUUCUAUUAUGGCAUUAAAGAUUAUGUUAAGCACCAUCUAUUCUCUCUUCCUAGGCCAUACUGUCUGGGUGAGGCUCCACACCCUGCCACAGGGUCAGAGAAGCUCACUCUAAAUUCACUCUGAUUCAGAGACAGCUGAGCCAAUUCUUCAGGAGAGAAAGAAAAAAAAAUCUAUCCCUCUGGAACCAAAGGGAACCUCCUGGGUCCAUAGCAGGUGUUGGGAUCUAUAAGCCUGGGCUGGCUUAUGAUAGAGGCUGGAGACCAUCUCUCUUCUGUUUCUUUCCUAAUGUUACCUUUGCUACAAAGAUGAGUGACCUGGACUCUCAGAGAGAAAGAUCUAGAUUCAGCCUCACCACCUUGGAUGACUCAAGUCUCUGAGCCUCAACUUACUCUUCUUAGGUGAGACAAUUGGGAAACUGCUUUCCACUAUCAUUGAAGGCAUCAAGUGAGAUACAGCAAAGGGAUCCUAUCUUCCAGUUUACCUA
rnacentral:lncRNA from 1 species